rnacentral:misc_RNA from 1 species
AGGAUGCUCAGGACAAGCUCAAGGAAUUGUACCACAAUUAUUCAAAUGAAAAUGAAAAUCGUAUAUUUCUUGAGAUGAAAGCUAUUCAGAAGGAAUAUGACUUAACAUUAGAGGUUGAAGAGAAGGAAAAACUAAAGCAAAUAAUUUAUCGGCUUGAAAGAUCAGUGGGUGAAAAGGAAAAAUUAGCAAGUGAUGCAUCAACUGCUCUGGCAAAGGAGAAGGAACAAUUUGAGCUGGUAACUCAAGAGCUUAAUUCUGUGAGAGAACAUGCAAGUACGCAGCAAAGAUUAGUUUCUGAGAGCAAUAUGGAAUUAGAGGUGAUAAAGGGUCAAUUAGAAGAAGCAUUGGAGCAAAUUGAAGCAAUGAAGGAGGCGAUCCACCAGUUAAAUCAAAAGCUUGUAGAGAAGGAGGAGGAGUUGAAAGUAACUGAUGACAAAGCAAAGAUGGUCCUUGCUGUUUCUGAAGAGAGGCAGUACAUUUUGGCAAUAAAUGAAACCAAAGAAAUUGAGCUAAGAAAGCAUAUGGAAGCAGUAAUUUGUAGGGUACACGAGUUGUCAAAAAUGCUUGCAGAUUUUGAAUGCAAGGCGAGUGGCAGUCUGGAAGCAAAUCAUGCUAGGUGGAAGCAUUCAUCAAAUCAGUUGAAUUCUCUCGUCAAGAAGACCAAUUCUCUUAGAAGAACAGUGCUAUUGUACCGACAGAGGCUUGAAAAAAGGUGUUCGGACCUUCAAAUGGCCG